AUUGAACGCUGGCGGCAGGCCUAACACAUGCAAGUCGAACGGUAACAGGAAGAAGCUUGCUUCUUUGCUGACGAGUGGCGGACGGGUGAGUAAUGUCUGGGAAACUGCCUGAUGGAGGGGGAUAACUACUGGAAACGGUAGCUAAUACCGCAUAACGUCGCGAGACCAAAAAGGGGGACCUUCGGGCCUCUUGCCAUCGGAUGUGCCCAGAUGGGAUUAGCUAGUAGGUGGGGUAACGGCUCACCUAGGCGACGAUCCCUAGCUGGUCUGAGAGGAUGACCAGCCACACUGGAACUGAGACACGGUCCAGACUCCUACGGGAGGCAGCAGUGGGGAAUAUUGCACAAUGGGCGCAAGCCUGAUGCAGCCAUGCCGCGUGUAUGAAGAAGGCCUUCGGGUUGUAAAGUACUUUCAGCGGGGAGGAAGGGAGUAAAGUUAAUACCUUUGCUCAUUGACGUUACCCGCAGAAGAAGCACCGGCUAACUCCGUG
rnacentral:rRNA from 1 species